rnacentral:rRNA from 1 species
AUGUCGGCGGCCGAGGGAAGGAAGACGGCGUGCGUCACCGGAGGGAGCGGCUACAUCGCUGCAGUACUCAUCAAGCUGCUGCUCGAGAAAGGCUACGCGGUCAAGACGACCGUCAGAGACCCCGAUGACAUGGAAAAGAACUCCCACCUCAAGGAUUUGCAAGCACUUGGCCCCUUGGAGGUCAUCGGUGCCCAACUGGACGUGGAAGGUAGCUUCGACAAAGCGGUUUCUGGCUGCGACUACGCCUUCCUUGUUGCUGCUCCGAUGAACAUGGAUCCAGCAGAUCCUGAGAAGGAUAUGAUCGAAGCCGCCGUCCAAGGGACUCUCAACGUGAUGAGGUCGUGCGUGAGAGCCGGGACGGUGAAACGGGUGGUCCUGACGUCUUCGGAUGCCGCGGUGUCCAGGAGGCCGUUGCACGGUGGCGGCCAUGUGCUGGACGAGGGCUCAUGGUCCGACGUCGAGUACCUCAGAACAAACAAGCCACCAAUUUGGGCGUAUGCCGUCUCGAAGGUGCUUUUGGAAAAGGCGGCGAGUGAAUUCGCGGAGGAGAACGGCAUCAGCCUCGUCACCGUGUUGCCUGUGUUCACCUUGGGUGCGGCGCCGCUCUCCAAGGCCAAAACUAGCGUCCCCCUCACCCUCUCCCUGUUGUCCGGCGACGAGACAUUCCUGAACAUGCUGAUAGGCCUGCAAUUGAUCACGGACUCCAUGGCGAUAAGCCACGUUGAAGACCUAUGCCGCGCCAAGGUGUUCGUGGCCGAGAAUGAGUCCUCCUCCGGCAGGUACAUCUGCUGCAGCCACAACACUACAGUCCUGCAGCUCUCCCGUUUCUUGGCAGAGAAGUAUCCACAAUACAAUGUGCAACCUGAACGGUACUUGAGUCGGCUGUUUAAAGUUUGGACUGCUCGAAUGCAGGCACGCAAAUAUUUAUCUUUAUGUGGGUUUAACAACAUCCAAGUAUGCUUAUGUAGCUUUGAUGGAUCCCCGGAGAAGCCGAAAGUGUGUCUGUCGUCUGACAAGCUCAUCGGGGAAGGGUUCGUGUUCAAGUAUAAUGACCUGGGUGAGAUCUUUGACAACCUUGUCGAGUAUGGCAGGACCACAGGGAUUCUUCCCUACUGA